GACGAACGCUGGCGGCGUGCCUAAUACAUGCAAGUAGAACGCAGUUGCGAACGGGUGAGUAACGCGUAGGUAACCUGCCUCAUAGCGGGGGACAACUAUUGGAAACGAUAGCUAAUACCGCAUACUGCGAGAUGGACCUGCGUUGUAUUAGCUAGUUGGUGAGGUAAAGGCUAACCAAGGCGACGAUCGAUAGCCGACCUUAGAGGGGGGUCGGGCACAAUGGGAAUGGGGCACGGCCCAGGCUUCUUCGGGAGGGAAGCGGAGGGGAUCUUCGGCAAUUGGAGGAAGUCUGACCCGGCAACGCCGCGGGAGUGAAGAAAGGUUUCGGAACGUAAAGCUCUGUUGUUAGGGGAGUGGUAACUAACCAGAAAGGGACGGCUAACUACGUGCCAGCAGCCGCGGUAAUAC
rnacentral:rRNA from 1 species